AUCAUUAGCGAGUUGCAUUCGGGCUCCGGCCCGAUCCUCCCACUCUUUGUGUACCUACCUCUGUUGCUUUGGCGGGCCGCGGUCCUCCGCGGCCGGCCCCCCCUCCCCGGGGGGUGGCCAGCGCCCGCCAGAGGACCAUCAAACUCCAGUCAGUAAACGAUGCAGUCUGAAAAACAUUUAAUAAACUAAAACUUUCAACAAACGGAUCUCUUGGUUCUGGCAUCGAUGAAGAACGCAGCGAAAUGCGAUAAGUAAUGUGAAUUGCAGAAUUCAGUGAAUCAUCGAAUCUUUGAACGCACAUUGCGCCCUUUGGUAUUCCGAAGGGCAUGCCUGUUCGAGCGUCAUUUACAACCCUCAAGCUCUGCUUGGUAUUGGGCACCGUCCUUUGCGGGCGCGCCUCAAAGACCUCGGCGGUGGCGUCUUGCCUCAAGCGUAGUAGAACAUACAUCUCGCUUCGGAGCGCAGGGCGUCGCCCGCCGGACGAACCUUUCUGAACUUUUCUCAAGGUUGACCUCGGAUCAGGUAGGGAUACCCGCUGAUCUUAA
rnacentral:rRNA from 1 species